rnacentral:misc_RNA from 1 species
CAAAAUAUCUGACGGAACUCUCAGACACUCGACACUUUUCGCCGCUAUCUGAUCUCUAGCAGCCUCAGUGCAGAUAUCACUGCGUUUCAGAAGCUGUAUGCGCGCUACGCAUUGUCGCAGCAGGUGCGUUCACAAUCACGUUAGAGAGCACAUCGCGCACGACCCUUCUGUGGCACUGUGCGGGUACUAGAAACACCGUGGCAAAGAGGGUUGCGUUACUAGCUAAAGUAGCCGUCUGGUAAAUACAGCAUCGCCAGCAGAAACAAAAUCGUUGAGCUUCUGUUCAGAACAUUAUCACGAGCCCCAUGCGAUUUCGAUUAGUACUUAUAUCCCUUUGAGAGAUCCUGUGGCUGACGCGAACGUGUUUACUAGAGUGCAGGUGCGCUCAAGAACGUGUGCGCCGUUCUCCCCCCCCACACACACACAUCAACACACAUUUUUGUUGAGGGGCUGCCUUGUCUGUCUUUCUGCCCCCCCCCCCCAAUUUCUUGUGUGCGUUUCGUUCAUACUUUUUGUUUUUGUUGCGACGCUUUCGGCUCCCCAUCUCUCCCUCCCUCUCUGUCUCUCUCUCUCUCCCCGCCUGUGUGCCUCCCUGCCUGCCUCUUUCUCUCAUUCUCUGUUUGCGUGCUUGUCUCUCACGCAGGCCACCCCCUUCCCUUUUGUCCUUACGCUGAGUUCAGUGCUACUGAAUGAAUACCCCACCACCACCACCACCCUAAGGCACCCUCCUCCCCUUCCCGAGAUACACAUACACAUACUAUCCUUACUUCUCUUCCCCUCUACCCUUUUUUUGGGGGUCACAUACGUCCUUCCACUUCAACCGUCGCUUCUCUUGUGAGGUCCCGCCCCUUCCCCAGUCCUCUCUCCAUCCCUCUUCGCCGCCACCGUACUUGUCACCAAGGUGUAUGCUCAACCCCCUUUUACAGAAAAAAGGCAGGAGAGCGAAGAUGCCCCGGAAGUCGACGGCACGGCACGAGAGCAUCAACCCGCUCGAAAAUGAGUAUAUUCCGCCGGCGUAUUUGCCCAACUUGAGGAAGUACAAGUACUCCAGCACGGACCUCUCCAUAGUGAGCCGGUAUGUCCUGCAGCGAUACUGGAACUUUGUCGUGAACCUUGUUCCCAUGACCGUCGCGCCAAACUGCAUCACGUUUACGGGGUUUCUCAUCGGCAUGUCCUCAACGGCCUUGCUGCUAUACUACUACUUCUUUGAGGGGGGCGUGUACCCCAGCUGGUGCUUAUACUACGCUGCCUUCGCGCUCUUCGCCUACCAAACCCUAGAUGCCAUUGAUGGCAAGCAAGCGCGCCGCACCGGCACCGGUAGCCCGCUCGGCGAGCUUUUUGACCACGGCUGUGACGCCUUCCUCACUCCGUUUGUACUGCUCAACGUGAGCCUUGCCACCUACAUGACGCCCGUGGAGCGCUUCUGGCUCUCAACCAUCUCAUCCAUGAGCCUGUUCACCGUGAUCUGGGAGCAGUUCAGCACCGGGACGUUCGACCUGGGCUAUGUAAAUGGCCCGGCGGAGGGCAUUAUCCUCAACUGCGUGCUCUUCAUCGUCUCGGGUGUGUAUGGCGAGUCUAUCUGGGAUACGUCGGCUGUCGGACCGUAUGAUGUGGCAUACCCGCCAGUGCUGUCCCGGUUUUUUCCUGGCUGCAACGGCACCGUUCACAUCGAGUCCGUCCGCAGUGUCCUCUUUAUCUUAUUCCUGGUUUCAUGUCCUUUCACGAUUCUCGUGAAUGUAGUACACGCUGUACUUCGGCCAACGGUGCACGCUUCGAAGGUGAUGCCCAUGCUCGCGCUAGCUCCGAUCGUCACGAUGACGGCGCUGGCGGUGCACGUGUUCGUGGUGUUCCCCAACUUGACGGUGCGUUUUCCGUUUGCGAUGGAGAUCAGUUAUGGCCUGCUCAUGUCCAUUACGGUAACGCGGCUGACGCUGGCGCGGCUCAGCGCCAUGCCGUACAGAACUGUGAAUUGGCACAUCGUUUUCUUCUUCGUUGCCCUGGCAGCGGCAUCGGCGAUGCACUACGCUGGCGAUGCGGCUGUGUCGCAUGAUUUGGUGGAAACACUUCUCGGUUGGACGCUGACGGGGCUGGCCGUGUUCGCCGCGAUGCAGUACGGCCACAUGAUUCUCUCCGCGUUCACCCAGAUCGCCCGCUACCUCAGUAUCUCUAUUAUGACCAUAAAGCCAAAUAAGUCAGAUUAGAGCAGGCUAGAAGUCUGCCCUCGUGCCCAUGAGCUCAACAGUUGAAAAGACAAGUUCUCUAAACAGCGACGACCCCCCCGCUUUGUUUCUGAUGUUGUGGUCCUCUCCCAUAAGCAGUUGUCUACGCUUGGUGGAAAGGCCAGUUCUGCGACUUGGUAGUCGCGCGCUCUCCUUCUUCGUGGUGGGAAGGCUCUCGGUAUGCAUGCCCUGUAAGGGCGCCAACACCUAUCAGCGUCGCCGUAAUGUAAAGCUGAAGGCUACAGAAAAUCACAUACACACACACACACACAUCGUUGCGUUUGUAAUUGUGUCUGUGAGCGAUGGGCCUAGCAG